rnacentral:ncRNA from 1 species
AUGAUUAGAGGAAUUGUGGGACGAAACGUCUUCCACCCAUUCUCAAACUUUCAACGAGUGUGACGUCUCGAUUACUUGAAUGUCACGUAGACACUGAAUACGUGCUCCACGUGGGCCACUUUUGGUGAGCACAAAUGGUGCGCUCAAACG